AUUGAACGCUGGCGGCAGGCCUAACACAUGCAAGUCGAACGGCAGCGGGGGAUAGCUUGCUAUCCUGCCGGCGAGUGGCGGACGGGUGAGUAAUGCAUGGGGAGCUGCCCAAUCGAGGGGGAUAACAACUGGAAACGGUUGCUAAUACCGCAUACGCCCUGCGGGGAAAGGUGGGGACCUUCGGGCCUACCGCGAUUGGAUGCACCCAUGUGGGAUUAGCUAGUUGGUGAGGUAACGGCUCACCAAGGCGACGAUCUCUAGCUGGUCUGAGAGGAUGACCAGCCACACUGGAACUGAGACACGGUCCAGACUCCUACGGGAGGCAGCAGUGGGGAAUAUUGCACAAUGGGGGAAACCCUGAUGCAGCCAUGCCGCGUGUGUGAAGAAGGCCUCGGUUGUAAAGCACUUCAGUGGGAGGAAGGGCGUGGAUGACUAAUAUUCAUCAGCAUUGACGUUACCACAGAAGAAGCACCGGCUAACUCCGU
rnacentral:rRNA from 1 species